ensembl:rRNA 5S_rRNA 5S ribosomal RNA
GCAUGCGGCCACACUGGCCUGAGUACGCCUGAUCUCGUCCGAUCUCGGAAGCUAAGCAGGGUCGGGCCUGGUUAGUACUUGGAUGGGAGACCGCCUGGGAAUACCAGGUGCUGUAAGCU